GACGAACGCUGGCGGCGUGCCUAAUACAUGCAAGUUGAGCGAUGAAGCUUGGUGCUUGCACCAAUUUGAAGAGCAGCGAACGGGUGAGUAACGCGUGGGGAAUCUGCCUUUGAGCGGGGGACAACAUUUGGAAACGAAUGCUAAUACCGCAUAACAACUUUAAACAUAAGUUUUAAGUUUGAAAGAUGCAAUUGCAUCACUCAAAGAUGAUCCCGCGUUGUAUUAGCUAGUUGGUGAGGUAAAGGCUCACCAAGGCGAUGAUACAUAGCCGACCUGAGAGGGUGAUCGGCCACAUUGGGACUGAGACACGGCCCAGACUCCUACGGGAGGCAGCAGUAGGGAAUCUUCGGCAAUGGACGAAAGUCUGACCGAGCAACGCCGCGUGAGUGAAGAAGGUUUUCGGAUCGUAAAACUCGGUUGGUAGAGAAGAACGUUGGUGAGAGUGGAAAGCUCAUCAAGUGACGGUAACUACCCAGAAAGGGACGGCUAACUACGUG
rnacentral:rRNA from 1 species